ACAUAGGGUGCAAGCGUUAUUCGGAUUUAUUGGGCGUAAAGAGCUCGUAGGCGGUUCGAUAAGUCGGGUGUUAAACCCCCAGGCUCAACCUGGGGCCGCCACCCGAAACUAUCGUGACUAGAGUUUGGUAGGGGAUCACGGAAUUCCUGGUGUAGCGGUGGAAUGCGCAGAUAUCAGGAGGAACACCAGUAGCGAAGGCGGUGAUCUGGGCCAAUACUGACGCUGAGGAGCGAAAGCGUGGGGAGCGAACAGGAUUAGAUACCCUGGUAGUCCACGCCGUAAACGGUGGGCACUAGGUGUGGGGACUUUUCAACGGUUUCCGCGCCGCAGCUAACGCAUUAAGUGCCCCGCCUGGGGAGUACGGCCGCAAGGCUA
rnacentral:rRNA from 1 species